CGGGAAUUUGUAUACUCAGGGUCUUUGUUGUUUCCUCGGCUGUGGGUAAACAAGCUUUCUCUUUCUACGCUCCAUCUUAUUUCAAAAAUUAUAUCAAAAGUCU